UACGUAGGGGGCAAGCGUUGUCCGGAAUUAUUGGGCGUAAAGAGCGUGUAGGCGGCCAGAUAAGUCCGCUGUGAAAUCUCGAGGCUCAACUUCGAGCUGUCGGUGGAAACUGUCUGGCUAGAGUCCGGAAGAGGAGAAUGGAAUUCCUGGUGUAGCGGUGAAAUGCGCAGAUAUCAGGAAGAACACCCGUGGCGAAGGCGGUUCUCUGGGACGGUACUGACGCGGAGACGCGAAAGCGUGGGGAGCGAACAGG
rnacentral:rRNA from 1 species